CGCUGCCGUCCCAACCUUCAACAUCACAUCGACCUCGCGGGCGAAUCCAAAUCAUCACCGUCGUUCUUCUAUUUCCGCCGCGUCAACCACGAUCCGCACCUAACACCGUCCUUUCUUCAAUAUUCCCGGCGUCUACGACACAACUCAGCCACCGUACCAGCUAUGUCACCCACAUUAAAUCGUGGCACAAUCCUUCCGCCUCCUCUGAUUUCAAUCACCUUCAAAC
rnacentral:lncRNA from 1 species